rnacentral:rRNA from 1 species
CUUGUCUCAGUGGCGCACGGGUGAGUAACGCGUAAGAAUCUGCCUUUAGGGAGAGGAUAACAAUUGGAAACGAUUGCUAAUACUCUAUAAGCUGAGAAGUAAAAUAAUGUAUAAUUAAUUAACAUUGCCUGAAGAGGAGCUUGCGUCUGAUUAGCCUGUUGGUAAGGUAAUGGCUUACCAAAGCUAUAAUCAGUAGCUGGUCUGAGAGGAUGAACAGCCACACCGGAACUUAGAUACGGUCCGGACUCCUACGGGAGGCAGCAGUGAGGAAUUUUCCGCAAUGGGCGAAAGCCUGACGGAGCAAUACCGCGUGGAGGAUGAAAGCCUAUGGGUUGUAAACUCCUUUUCUUAGAGAAGAAGUUCUGACGGUAUCUAAAGAAUAAGCAUCGGCUAACUCCGUGCCAGCAGCCGCGGUAAUACGGGGGAUGCAAGCGUUAUCCGGAAUUAUUGGGUGUAAAGCGUCUGUAGGUUGCUUAUUUAAGUCAGUUGUUAAAUCUCAGAACUCAAUUCUGAUAAGAGCAACUGAGACUACUAAGCUAGAGUCGGGUAGAGGCAGAAGGAACUCCGAGUGUAGCGGUGAAAUGCGUAGAUAUUCGGAAGAACACCGAAGGCGAAGGCAUUCUGCUGGGCUAGUACUGACACUGAGAGACGAAAGCGAGGGGAGAGAAUGGGAUUAGAUACCCCAGUAUUCCUCGCUGUAAACGAUGGAUAUUAGGUAUUAGGCGAUAGAGCCUAGUACUGAAGUUAACGCGUUAAAUAUCCCACCUGGGGAGUAUGCUCGCAAGAGU